rnacentral:tmRNA from 1 species
GGGGGUGAACUGGUUUCGACGGAGAGAGUUGAGUGAAAGGAGCAUGCAGGGGUUGGUUACAGCGCCUCUUUAAAACGUUGUGGCAGCCAGAAGUGGCAAAAACACUAAUCUAGCUCUCGCUGCCUAAAAAACACAGAGCCGGUGACUUGGGUGCGGCAGCACGUGCAUUCAAAAUCGCCGUUAAUUUACGUGCGGGUACGCUCCGACUUCUGUUCGUAGUUUGACUUACCUAUUAAUCGAACUGGCUUGUGUAGUAGGGUGUCUUUCCCCGGCUAUCAAGUAAGAUUUAAUGAAAGAAGAAGCAUGUGGCGCCAAUUGUGAUGCCUAUCCGGACCCGGGUUCGAUCCCCGGCACCUCCACCA